rnacentral:rRNA from 1 species
GACGAACGCUGGCGGCGUGCUUAACACAUGCAAGUCGAGCGGUAAGGCCCUUUCGGGGGUACACGAGCGGCGAACGGGUGAGUAACACGUGGGUGACCUGCCCUCAGCUCUGGGAUAAGCCUGGGAAACCGGGUCUAAUACUGGAUAUGACUCCAUGACGCAUGUUGUGGGGUGGAAAGCCUUGUGCGGCUGAGGAUGGGCCC